UAUGUUUCAAUUAUGGUCCUCUUCCAGAUAGAAUAUGACUAUAUUACCUUGAACUUAUUGAAUAUGAACAAUUUCCCCAUGAUGGCUUACGUUAUACUGUCAAGCACUCGAAUAGUCGAGAGCGCUGUCUUCUGACAGCUCUUGUUACAAUAUGACAGUGUUAUGCGGAAUUCAUAUAAGUUUGACUUGGUAUAAUGCGGUAUACCAAUUAGUUGAUUCUUCUUUUGGUAUCACAAUCUUUACUGGCAUUGAAUUAUAAUUGCAUUAAAGUUAACCAAGAAGACAGUGUAUUGAAUUUAAUCAAUAAUCGUAUUAUUGUGGGCACUAAUCGGACCUGCCUACAUUUUAGUUUUAUAGUUAUGACACAACAUAUAAUAAUAUUUAUAUAUUUUAUUCAUUGUUAAAUUGAAUACCUCUUUGUGCGUUGUAAGAAACGAUAUAUUCUGUAUUAUUAAGACUUUUGCUUAGUAAGCAUAAUACCGUUUAAAAGAAACGUCACAAUCAAGACGAUAGUUGACGUGUACUUUCGAUUUCGUUUUGGCAUAUGACUUUAACAAACUUCAGCUUCUUGCAGUUGCAUGCACAGUAUGACCUCGAAAUCAACGCUUGCGUCUUAUAUCAAAGAAAAACAAGCACACAAUUCAAGGUCGUUGAUGCGUUUUGAAUGGUCACGGUUUGAAUCAUAUGCAAACUUUCCAAAAGGACAGGAAAACGUCAGUUUUAUUACUCUGGCGAAGAAUGGAUUUCACUAUCAAGGGUUUGGAACAGUUGUGGUGUGUUUUUGGUGUGGGUUUUUGUUUGAUGAUUGGAAAAGUGAUACACCAUACUGGACUUUGCAUAGAACAGUAAAACCAGACUGUCCUUUUCUUAGCAACGCAAACGAAUCGGAUAAUGUUCCAAUUAAUGCAAUUUAUACAAACGAUGGUCAAUAUGAUGUAAAGAAAUGUGAAGAUGAAGCUCAUAAUAAAUUGAGAGAAGCAACAGAAACUCAUUACUACGACAUGGAAACUGUCAAACGGAUGGAGGAAGAAAAUCAGCUUUUAAAUGACAUAUUGACAUGCAAGAUUUGCAUCGACCGGAAGGCAAGCAUCGUUUUCCUGCCGUGUGGUCACGUGGUCAGUUGCGUGGGAUGUGCGCAUGCGCUACGGAAGUGCCCCAUGUGUCGUGUAAGAAUAAAUGGUCAAGUCAACGCUCUGAUGCAGUGAAUGUAUCUUUCUGUACCCGAUUACAAUUUAUAUAAUACACUACAAAAUAUUUAUUUUUAUUUUUGUAACUAAGGAAACACUAUAUUGCAGAAGAGUUGUGUUUUUAUCAGCUCUAUCCCACAUACAUAUGUAUGUACUUAUAUUGCAUGUUCUUGGUAUGUUGUGCAAAUAAAAUUAAUGAAUGCAGUUUGGCAUUUAUUUGUUACUAGCGGUUUAAACUCUCCAGAUAUAAUACUUACCCAAAUCAUAUGGGCAUUUAGUAAAAUGAAAACAGCAAUCGUCAAAUGUGCAUGACCUUCAAACCAGUGUUAUCAGGAAAGGAAAAAACCCCACGUCAUAUGAAAUUCGGAAAACCAGAUGUUACAACAGCGUUGGGUUUCAUGCUUAAGUGUGCAAUUUAAAUUUGUUAUGUUUGAUUUAGACGUUAUUUACUUAUUUGGUUCAGACCGAUUAAUUUCAUACUACCAGUCUAGCACUUGUGUCAUUUUUGUUUGGACUCGUCAAUUGGUUUUUAAUGUUUUAAUGUGUGACACAAUUUUGGAAAAGUCUUAUGUUGACAAACUGUGGACAAGUCCCUUUACUAUCCUUACAUCGCUCUUCUUACAAACACUAGACAGUGCCCUUGGUUUAAUAAAGGCUUAUUGUUAAACACUAUUAUUAAAAUGCACAAUUAAUCUGGCCAUUUUUUCUGCUACGUUAUUUUGCAUAACGGGGUCACUAAGGAACUUCUGAUAUUGUUGUUUUUUAUGGAAGUUUAUUUGUUUUAUUCUUGACUAUUAAAGAGUACAUAAUUGUUCUUUUAAAUCGUUUUCCUGAGGUAAAUUGCAAUGGCUUUUUCACCUAAGUAUGACUGAAUUUUGAAUUUGGCUUCAGGAUACCACAAUAUAUAUAUGUAAACUAGCCUAAUCGUGUUAUAAUACUACUUCUAUUUUCAGAGCAAGGCAUAAUAUUUAGUAAUAUUUAACUGUGAACCUGAAUUAACUCAAAGAUCCACGAUAUAAAUAUAACAAUAGUGCUAGGGUUUUGCAACAACGUUCAGUAAGCGUAUUAGAAUAUUAAAUAAAAGCUCGAUAAAAACGGCUUCACUUCAUGCAAUGUAUAUCCAGUUAUAUGUUUGGUCUUCGGAAAUCACAAAAAGGUUUUUCAAACGUGAAAUUUUGAAAAGCAUGCGUUUAAUUCGUCUCUAUUAUGGUGUUUUUGAAUGUACAAUGCAAAUACGAAUAACAAGCCAUAUUAAACUGUGUGCUAUGUU